GAUGAACGCUGGCGGCGUGCCUAGUACAUGCAAGUCGAGCGAACGGACGAGAAGCUUGCUUCUCUGAUGUUAUCGGCGGACGGGUGAGUAACACGUGGAUAACCUACCUAUAAGACUGGGAUAACUUCGGGAAACCGGAGCUAAUACCGGAUAAUAUUUUGAACCGCAUGGUUCAAAAGUGAAAGACGGUCUUGCUGUCACUUAUAGAUGGAUCCGCGCUGCAUUAGCUAGUUGGUAAGGUAACGGCUUACCAAGGCAACGAUGCAUAGCCGACCUGAGAGGGUGAUCGGCCACACUGGAACUGAGACACGGUCCAGACUCCUACGGGAGGCAGCAGUAGGGAAUCUUCCGCAAUGGGCGAAAGCCUGACGGAGCAACGCCGCGUGAGUGAUGAAGGUCUUCGGAUCGUAAAACUCUGUUAUUAGGGAAGAACAUAUGUGUAAGUAACUGUGCACAUCUUGACGGUACCUAAUCAGAAAGCCACGGCUAACUACGUG
rnacentral:rRNA from 1 species